GAUGAACGCUGGCGGCGUGCCUAAUACAUGCAAGUCGAGCGAACAGACGAGGAGCUUGCUCCUCUGACGUUAGCGGCGGACGGGUGAGUAACACGUGGAUAACCUACCUAUAAGACUGGGAUAACUUCGGGAAACCGGAGCUAAUACCGGAUAAUAUAUUGAACCGCAUGGUUCAAUAGUGAAAGACGGUUUUGCUGUCACUUAUAGAUGGAUCCGCGCCGCAUUAGCUAGUUGGUAAGGUAACGGCUUACCAAGGCAACGAUGCGUAGCCGACCUGAGAGGGUGAUCGGCCACACUGGAACUGAGCCACGGUCCAGACUCCUACGGGAGGCAGCAGUAGGGAAUCUUCCGCAAUGGGCGAAAGCCUGACGGAGCAACGCCGCGUGAGUGAUGAAGGUCUUCGGAUCGUAAAACUCUGUUAUUAGGGAAGAACAAAUGUGUAAGUAACUAUGCCCGUCUUGACGGUACCUAAUCAGAAAGCCACGGCUAACUACGUG
rnacentral:rRNA from 1 species